rnacentral:lncRNA from 1 species
CCCCCCCCCCCCCCCCCCCCCCCCCCCCCCCCCCCCCCCCCCCCUCCAAAACAUUCGAUUUUUGAUGGUUUGGUACAGAAUCAUCGUAGAAACUUCUGGUUUGUAUCGCUACCUUCUCAAGAGACACCUUUUUUUAGACAAGGUCAGAGGUCAAGUUGACGAUUUCAAUCAAGAGAUUACUUUUCACAUGGACAAACACAUGGUUGAAAUUGGUAUCGGAUCUAAGGAGAGGGAGAUGGAGGCCGAAUCGAAGACGACAAAGGAGAAUCCACCAGUGUCAAAAGUUGGAGAAGACUUGCAAGGACCAGCGAAGGAGGCGAUCGUUUCAGAGAAAGGGCAGCGCGUCGAUCGAAAUGCUGUACGAGAAACGAAGGAUGACGUAAACAAUGGAGAUGAAGGAAGAAAAGAUACUUGCGAAGAGGAAACGUUGUGCGACGAUAUGACUGCUGCAGCAAAAGAGCUCAAUAUUUCUGUGGAAGAGCUGGAGAAACUUUUAAAAAAGUACGUUGAGGAACAGAUGCAGCAGGAAACGCUAUUACAGGAGAGGGUUCCAGACCUGCGUGAGCGAGUGCAACGGCAGGAGGCAAAAGAUAUUGCUGUUUCGAAGAUGUUUGAAGAUAUUAUGAGGUAUGAACUCGCUUUUAUAUUUUUUAAUUAUGUGAAGUUAUCCCAAAUGAACUUGAUGAACCUGACUUGCUGCUAAUUUAAGUG